AUUUCAACAUGUAUGCUUGGAGGUAAAACUUUUUGUUAGAUCAGGACAUUCUGGUCAUUUCAAUUUGUUGCCAUACUUUCAUCCUAUUACGUGGUUGUGUGGCUAGAAGAUUUAUUGUGUGUGGCAUCAAUGGGUGCUUCCAAUCAGAUAUCUCUCAUCUAUAAUCACUAUUGAAGAGGAAAACAAUGGUAUUUUGCCUUCAUAACUUUUCCUCUUCAAGCUUCUCUAAAUACUGUCGCAAUUUUGCGGUUAUAUCGUGGUUCGACUUGCAUAACUGAAAUGAAAAAAUAGACACAAUGAAACAACUCUCUGAUGGUCGGAUUGGAUUAGGUCUUAUCAAAUUUUUCAUAUCAUUCUAUAUCAUCUUUUGUCAAAAAUGUCUCAUCAAUAAAUUAUUAUACUAAAGAUGUUCUCAUCCUAAAAAUAAUGUCUAGAAAGGAGCAAAAUUUACUACGUGUUAUAAAAUUGUGUGUUGGUUUUAUGUUAAAGUACACAUCUCAAAAUAAUUUCUAGAAAGGAGCAAUAUUUAAUACACUUGAAUGUACGUGUUAUAAAA